UGGGGAAUAUUGCACAAUGGAGGGAACUCUGAUUCAGCGACGCCGCGUGAGUGAUGAAGGAAUUCGUUUCGUAAAACUCUGUUCUAUGGGAAGAAAAGGACUGUACCAUAGGAGAAAGCUCCGGCUAAAUACGUGCCAGCAGCCGCGGUAAUACGUAUGGAGCGAGCGUUGUCCGGAAUUAUUGGGCGUAAAGGGUGCGCAGGCGGCUUUACAAGUUGGAUGUGAAAUAUUGUGGCUCAACCACAAACGUGCAUCCAAAACUGCAAAGCUUGAGUUAAGGAGAGGUAAGUGGAAUUCCUGGUGUAGCGGUGGAAUGCGUAGAUAUCAGAAGGAAUACCGGUGGCGGAGGCGACUUACUGAACUAAAACUGACGCUCAGGCACGAAAGCGUGGGGAGCAAACAGG
rnacentral:rRNA from 1 species